rnacentral:lncRNA from 1 species
CUGGCACCUACAUGUUUGAUAACAACUCUCCGCCUGGAGACUUUGACAUGUCCUCGGAAAACCAGAUCCCUGUGACCAAGCCAUGGACACGCAUAAGGCUGUAGCCGGAAAGAAGCCUGACAACGGACCAAAGGCUGUGGGAGAGGAUGUCCUGGGGAAAAUGGAUACUAAGUAAGCUUCCAGGUUUUUAGCGGCUUAAUAUUCUGUAUCAUGUUCUGCUAAAGUAAGCAGACAGGUUCAUUAUGUUAGUCCACAUCUUGUCACUGAGGCUCCCAAACCUUAUAAGGAAGUUUGUUUAGCUCACAAUUUGAAAAGCUGAAAGUCUAGCCAGGCACACACCUUUAAUCCCAGCGCUCAGGAGGCAGAGGCAGGAGGAUCUCUGAGUUCUAGGCCAGCCUGGUCUACAGAGCUACAGACCUAGUUCCAGGACAGCAAAGGCUAUACGGAGAAACCCUGCAUGGAAGGGGAAAAAAAAGAAGGAAGGAAGAGGAAGGAGGAAGGUAGGCGGGGAG